AUUGUACGAUAACAUUUCUUUUUUGUAAUUGUUUAUGUUUAUUUUAUUUUUUUAAUUUAUUUAAAAUAGAAGUUUAUUUAAAUGUUAUAAAUUUAUUAAAAAAUAAAAUAUAAAUCUUUUAAGAUUUAAAUUAAGCUGAUAGAUAUGUUUGUUUAUGUGACCAUCGAAAAAAAAAAGUCGCAAAUUAAGAACGACAAGCAUCAACAUUGGGCUGGUGUUUAUCAGAAACGUUGAUGAAAAACAACUGUCGAUGUGUGGUGUAGGAAGUAGGAGGAACUUGGCACUUCUACGUCCAUUUAUUGUCACGUGUUGUUACCCAUUUUCUCUUAACUGUGCGACUAUCAAGCAUCCUGCAAUUUCCUCUGACCAUAUUCGCUGCAGGAGAGAGAGUUUUUCACUGUACUUCCCCUGUUACUGGAAAUAUGAUAGCCUACCGGACGUUCUUUAUUUAUGAAACUAAAUUGUAAACAAUCUGCUGAUUAUUCUAAUUUAAAAAGUUUACUGUAUUCUGUUUAAACUAUAUAAUUAUUUGCUCAGAUUACAAGUUAUUUAUGAUAAAAUUAGACACAGGUUUAAAUUAUCGUCUUCCAUUUUCAAUUAUUUUAAUUAAUUAUAUUGUUGAAAACGAUGAAGUUUGUU
rnacentral:lncRNA from 1 species